GAUAGGUAAAGGGGCAAUUUUCCGUGACAUUUCUAUUAGACUAUAAAUGAAUUAAUCACAGUCAACUCCAUGCAACAAUGUCAAAGACUAAAAAAAAGACUACAAUCAGAAAACAAUUUACAUCUGAGUAAUUGCCACUUUGAUACUACUGUAAUUACUCAUGAUAUUACACUGAGCAGAAUUUUGACUUACAGAGGUUGCUGGCUGGCAGAGGCAUGUUGGGAUUCAACGUGAGCAGGAUAACCCCACCAAGGAUCUAUCAAUCAGAGCAGAGCAAAGCCCAGGAGUUCUCAAAAACAUCCAAAUUGGCCUGCUGGAGGCCCAGCAGUGUUUUUAUGAAGGAAGGUGAAGUUGGGGAGUUCAGAAGAGCCCUGUUUGCCUUUGUAUUUGACAAGACAAAUAACUGGGAUUGUGCUUGGAAGUGGCGAAAGCAAGCUCCACAGGGAUUGUGGGCUCGUUCUUGCUGGAAAUGAAGUUUUUUUGGAAAAGUGAGGGAUGCAAUCAAAGUCAGAGGUUGGGUUUGUUCCACUAAAAUUGGGUUGCAAUCCCUGCUCGCUUGAGGAACUUUAUUGAUGUGAGUAGUCCCAUUGAGAGUACAAGUAUUUAUGUAGCUGAGAGAAACUAAUGAAAUGAACUCAAGUGAAAAAGGGAUUGUUCACAUGCCCGAGAAUUGUAUGACAAGGGCCCUAAUCCAACCAUUGUGGUUUAGGGAUUUGCAAAAUUACUUAUUUUUGCUAUUGAGUCUAUGUCAGUUUUGCUAACUUUUCACACAUUCCAGGCUCUCUCCUGAAAUCUACCUUAUUUGCUCUGAAUUUCUCCUUCCAGGACAGACAUAGCAACAUACUGACCUAAUUCUUCAUGUUGUGCAGCUGUGUACUCACUAUUUUAAGAGAUAAAUGGAUAACAGUCUCUCCAUUCUCCAGUGUAAAUUGACCAAAGCCUCUUCAUGUCAAUGAAGCGACAUAUGAAGUUGUGAAAGCUGAGAGCCUGGGGCUAAAUGUUAACUGCAAAAAGACAAGGCAGCUAUUGCAUUGGACUUUCAAAAAUUAUUGUGACCAUACAGCAUUUUCAGGUAGAAAUGGUGAUCUAGUUAAAAAAAAAGAACUAUGUCUGGGCAUCAUCCAAGUUGAACACUAAAGUGCAGUGUUCUCCAUAGUGAGUGCUGUGAUCUGGGAGCUCCUAUGGGACACCAGCCUCACAUCAAGUUAUCCAUGGAAAGACCUGCUAAUCCAGAGGAUGUGAUGUGCUCUCUGCAAGGCCAGCAGACGUGUCUCUCUCAGGGAGAAAACAACUGGUUGUAGCAGAUAUAUGCAGCUGCAUGAAAGGGUAAACUGUGCUCUGGCUUUUGGGAGGCUUUCCUGGUGACACUUUCAUUCCCUACCUCAGGUGAACAUUGCAGUGUGUCCUGCCAUGACCUGCUGUCUGAAUUGUGGUCACAUCCAAGGAGAGGAGCAACAGGCUAGACAGUCGGAACUCUCCCACGCAACUUCCCUGGCACAGACCAGCAUCACCACUGAGCAUCUCCCUCCUCUGCUGCUGGUCCUGUCACACAGCUGGGCUUCAAAAGAAGAUGCUCCUCUUCCAUGUGCUUCAAAGAGAAACCAGGAGCCACAGAACAAUUACUCCCACUCACAAGAUGAGGGGAAAUCCUCUUCUAACUAGGGAUCAUCCUGUUACAACGAGGAUGUCUGGUGAUUUAUGACUUGCUGCUUUUAACUCUCCUUCCCCUAUGAAGAAACACAGGAGACAGCAAAGCUGGAGGGAGAUACAAGAGAGAACUGACACUGGCAAUACUUGAAAUAUAGUGGGAGAGCUGGGAAAACCCUUUCUUUCUGUCCUCAUUAGCAUGACUUAAUUAAUACUUACAAUCUUAUCAGACAGAAAUAACCAUGCAGGAGGAAUGUGCAGGCUGGAAAUCAAAGCUUUAAUAAAUAGAUAUUUUAAGACCAAAAGAGCACCACUGUAAUUUUGUCUAGCUUCCUGUGUAACUGAUGCCAGAAAUAGACCUUUUCAACUAAAAAAAAAAAAGUGGAUUUAAUGGGGAAGUAUUGUGAUAUUUUUUGGGUGAAAUUUGUAACAAGAAAACUUUGAGUGGUUUAUUCUGCAAAAUCCAACUUAUCUGCACUUGAUUGGCUUCUAUUUUCAUCUUCUAUUCUUAAGCGUCCUCUAAAUCCCAAAGACUACCUGCUCUGUAGGGCUUAUACAUCCAUUUUAUUAAUCUUUUUUCUGUUAUUGACUCCAACUUUAUAAAAAAAUAUCUCAACCUGGGGCAAAAAAAAAAUUGGC